rnacentral:tRNA from 1 species
AUUAUAAAAGCUUUUAAGCACUUCACUUACACUGGAGAGAUGAUUAAUAAA